GUCGAACGGUAACAGGUCUUCGGACGCUGACGAGUGGCGAACGGGUGAGUAAUACAUCGGAACGUGCCCAGUCGUGGGGGAUAACUACUCGAAAGAGUAGCUAAUACCGCAUACGAUCUGAGGAUGAAAGCGGGGGACCUUCGGGCCUCGCGCGAUUGGAGCGGCCGAUGGCAGAUUAGGUAGUUGGUGGGAUAAAAGCUUACCAAGCCGACGAUCUGUAGCUGGUCUGAGAGGACGACCAGCCACACUGGGACUGAGACACGGCCCAGACUCCUACGGGAGGCAGCAGUGGGGAAUUUUGGACAAUGGGCGAAAGCCUGAUCCAGCAAUGCCGCGUGCAGGAUGAAGGCCUUCGGGUUGUAAACUGCUUUUGUACGGAAUGAAAAAGCUUCUCCUAAUACGAGAGGCCCAUGACGGUACCGUAAGAAUAAGCACCGGCUAACUACGUGCCAGCAGCCGCGGUAAUACGUAGGGUGCGAGCGUUAAUCGGAAUUACUGGGCGUAAAGCGUGCGCAGGCGGUUAUGUAAGACAGAUGUGAAAUCCCCGGGCUCAACCUGGGAACUGCAUUUGUGACUGCAUGGCUAGAGUACGGUAGAGGGGGAUGGAAUUCCGCGUGUAGCAGUGAAAUGCGUAGAUAUGCGGAGGAACACCGAUGGCGAAGGCAAUCCCCUGAACCUGUACUGACGCUCAUGCACGAAAGCGUGGGGAGC
rnacentral:rRNA from 1 species